rnacentral:lncRNA from 1 species
UUGUCUACUCAUUUUUUCACUAUAAAAGCUCACAGCACAUACAAGUUUCACACAACAAGUUUUUACACAAACACUCGAAUACAACUCAGUUCUCAAAAUUUUUUCUGCACCUUUACAAUACAUUAUCACCCCUGUCUUGCUUUACUAUUUUUUCUACUACUACUACCUUCUCUACUGCUACUGAGCACUCUUCUCCUUUAUCUCCUAUUGUCUAAAUAUUUCUGGAGUUCUUCUGAACUCCCAAGUACUUGCUGAAGUUUUCUGCUAACUAUCUGGAUGUCUACUUGCUCUUGUUCCUCUGGUGUACUAGAACUAAAAAAAUUGGUAUCUACUUCUAAGUUAAAUAACCCUCUCCUACUAUGUGUAUUCACUUCUCUUCUUC